CCUACGGGUGGCAGCAGUGGGGAAUAUUGCGCAAUGGGCGAAAGCCUGACGCAGCGACGCCGCGUGAGGGAUGAAGGUCUUCGGAUCGUAAACCUCUGUCAGCAGGGAAGAACGGUCACUGUGCUAAUCAGCAGUGAAUUGACGGUACCUGCAAAGGAAGCACCGGCUAACUCCGUGCCAGCAGCCGCGGUAAUACGGAGGGUGCGAGCGUUAAUCGGAAUUACUGGGCGUAAAGCGCUCGUAGGCGGUAUGUCAAGUCAAGGGUGAAAUCCCCGCGCUCAACGUGGGAACUGCCUUUGAAACUGGCAAACUGGAGUGUGGGAGAGGAAAGUGGAAUUCAAGGUGUAGGAGUGAAAUGCGUAGAUAUCUGGAGGAACAUCAGUGGCGAAGGCGACUAUCUGGCACAUAACUGACGCUGAGGAGCGAAAGCGUGGGUAGCAAACAGGAUUAGAUACCCGAGUAGUC
rnacentral:rRNA from 1 species